UACGUAGGGUGCGAGCAUUAAUCGGAAUUACUGGGCGUAAAGCGUGCGCAGGCGGUUUUGUAAGACAGGCGUGAAAUCCCCGGGCUCAACCUGGGAACGUGCGCUUGUGACUGCAAAGCUAGAGUACGGCAGAGGGGGUGGAAUUCCACGUGUAGCAGUGAAAUGCGUAGAGAUGUGGAGGAACACCAAUGGCGAAGGCGAGCCCCCUC
rnacentral:rRNA from 1 species